UAGCUGGUCUGAGAGGAUGAUCAGCCACACGGGAAUGACACACGGUCCAGACUCCUACGGGAGGCAGCAGUGGGGAAUAUUGCACAAUGGGGGAAACCGUGAUGCACCCAUGCCGCGUGUGUGAAGAAGGCCUUCGGGUUGUAAAGCACUUUCAGCGAGGAGGAAAGGUUGGUAGCUAAUAACUGCCAGCUGUGACGUUACUCGCAGAAGAAGCACCGGCUAACUCCGUGCCAGCAGCCGCGGUAAUACGGAGGGUGCCAGCGUUAAUCGGAAUUCCUGGGCGUAAAGCGCACGCGGGCGGUUGGAUAAGUUAGAUGUGAAAGCCCCGGGCUCAACCUGGGAAUUGCAUUUAAAACUGUCCAGCUAGAGUCUUGUAGAGGGGGGUAGAAUUCCAGGUGUAGCGGUGAAAUGCGUAGAGAUCUGGAGGAAUACCGGUGGCGAUGGCGGCCCCCUGGACAAAGACUGACGCUCAGGUGCGAAAGCGUGGGGAGCAAACAGGAUUAGAUCUCCUGGUGCUCCACGCCUUCCACAACUCCGAUUUGGAGGGUGUUUCCCUGAGACGUGGCUUCCCUAGGUAACCCUUAAAAUCGUCCCUGUGGGGAGUACGGCCGCAAGAUUAAAACUCUAAUAAAUUGACUUCCACCCACACCCCCGGUGGAGCUUGUGGUUUAAUUUGCUGCAACGCGAAGAUCCUCACCUGUCCUUGACAUGUCCAGAAUCCUCGAACGAUGCGGGAGUGCCCUCGGGAAUCAGCAAACAGGUGCUGCAUGGCGUCGUCAGCUCGUGUCCUGAGAUGUUGGGUUAAGUCCCGCAACGAGAGCAACCCCUAUCCUUUGUUACCAGCACAUAUUGGUGGGAAUUGAAGGAAAACUACCGGCCAUAAACCGGAGGGAGGUGGGGAUGACGUCAAGUCAUCAUGGCCCUUACGGCCAGGGCUACACACGUGCUACAAUGGCGCGUACAGAGGGCUGCAAGCUAGCGAUAGUGAGCGAAUCCCAAAAAGCGCGUCGUAGUCCGGAUCGGAGUCUGCAACUCGACUCCGUGAAGUCGGAAUCGCUAGUAAUCGCAAAUCAGAAUGUUGCGGUGAAUACGUUCCCGGGCCUUGUAGCACCACCGCCCGUCACACCAUGGGAGUGGGUUGCACCAGAACUUGAUAAC
rnacentral:rRNA from 1 species